rnacentral:rRNA from 1 species
AUACGGAGGAUCCGAGCGUUAUCCGGAUUUAUUGGGUUUAAAGGGAGCGUAGGUGGAUUGUUAAGUCAGUUGUGAAAGUUUGCGGCUCAACCGUAAAAUUGCAGUUGAAACUGGCAGUCUUGAAUACAGUAGAGGUGAGCGGAAUUCGUGGUGUAGCGGUGAAAUGCUUAGAUAUCACGAAGAACUCCGAUUGCGAAGGCAGCUCACUAGACUGUUACUGACACUGAUGCUCGAAAGUGUGGGUAUCAAACAGGAUUAGAUACCCUGGUAGUCCACACAGUAAACGAUGAAUACUCGCUGUUUGCGAUAUACAGUAAGCGGCCAAGCGAAAGCAUUAAGUAUUCCACCUGGGGAGUACGCCGGCAACGGUGAAACUCAAAGGAAUUGGCGGGG